UAGGGAAUCUUCCACAAUGGACGAAAGUCUGAUGGAGCAACGCCGCGUGAGUGAAGAAGGUUUUCGGAUCGUAAAGCUCUGUUGUUGGUGAAGAAGGAUAGAGGCAGUAACUGGUCUCUAUUUGACGGUAAUCAACCAGAAAGUCACGGCUAACUACGUGCCAG
rnacentral:rRNA from 1 species